rnacentral:rRNA from 1 species
AGAGUUUGAUCCUGGCUCAGGACGAACGCUGGCGGUGUGCUUCACACAUGCAAGUCGAACGGAGUAGCAAUACUCAGUGGCGGACGGGUGAGUAACACGUGGGAAUCUACCAUUAGGUGGGGAAUAACAGGCCGAAAGGACUGCUAAUGCCGCAUAUGUAGGCAUCUCGACAGAGAUGUUUAUGAAAGGAGUAAUCCGCCUUUUGAUGAGCCCGCGUCCGAUUAGCUAGUUGGUAGGGUAAAAGCCUACCAAGGCGACGAUCGGUAGGUGGUCUGAGAGGAUGAUCACCCACAAUGGGACUGAGACACGGCCCAUACUCCUACGGGAGGCAGCAGUGGGGAAUUUUACGCAAUGGGGGAAACCCUGACGUAGCGACACCGCGUGAGCGAAGAAGCCCUUUGGGGUGUAAAGCUCUGUCAACAGGAACGAAACAAAUGACGGUACCUGUGGAGGAAGCAUCGGCUAACUACGUGCCAGCAGCCGCGGUAAGACGUAGGAUGCAAGCGUUGUCCGGAUUUAUUGGGCGUAAAGAGUUCGUAGGCGGUUUGUUAAGUCUGAUGUUAAAGACCGGGGCUCAACCUCGGAAAUGCAUUGGAUACUGGCAGACUGGAGUGCAGCAGAGGCUAGUGGAAUUCCCAGUGUAGCGGUGAAAUGCGUAGA